GAAAGCGGUGUGCUUGGAAACUUGCUCGCACCGUUUGGACGGGGGCUGAUUGUAAAUAAAACAGCAAAUACAAAUCGCUGGAUAAAACGCGAUUAAUCUAUCCGUAU
rfam:Candidatus Phytoplasma aurantifolia strain WBDL phyWBDL_0021, whole genome shotgun sequence.